GAAUGGUGACCAAAACCGCACCCA
rnacentral:siRNA from 1 species